UACGUAGGGUGCAAGCGUUGUCCGGAAUUAUUGGGCGUAAAGAGCUCGUAGGCGGUUUGUCGCGUCUGCUGUGAAAUCUGGAGGCUCAACCUCCAGCCUGCAGUGGGUACGGGCAGACUAGAGUGCGGUAGGGGAGAUUGGAACUCCUGGUGUAGCGGUGGAAUGCGCAGAUAUCAGGAAGAACACCGAUGGCGAAGGCAGAUCUCUGGGCCGUAACUGA
rnacentral:rRNA from 1 species